rnacentral:lncRNA from 1 species
GGUUAGGGUUAGGGUUAGGGUUAGGGUUAGGGUUAGGGUUAGGGUUAGGGUUAGGGUUAGGGUUAGGGUUAGGGUUAGGGUUAGGGUUAGGGUUAGAGUAGGGUUAGGGUUAGGGUUAGGGUUAGGGUUAGGUUUAGGGUUUGGGUUAGGAUUUGGGUUAGGGUUAGGAUUAGGGUUAGGGUUAGGGUUAGGGUUGGGUUUGGCUUAGGUUAUGGGUUAGGUUUAGGGUUUGGGUUAGGGUUAGGUUUACGGUUAGGGUAGGGUUGGAGUUAGGGUUAGGGUUAGGGUUAGGGUUAGGGUUAGUGUUAGGGUUAGGGUUAGUGUUAGGUUAGGCUUAGGGUUAGGGUUAGGGUUAGGGUUAGGGUUAGGGUUAGGGUUAGGCUUAGGCUUAGGGUUAGGGUUAGGGUUAUGGUUAGGGUUAGGGUUAGGUUAGGGUUAGGGGUAGGGUUAGGGGUAUGGUUAGGGUUAGUUUUAGGGUUAGGGUUAGGGUUAGGGUUAGGGUUAGGGUUCGGUUAGUGUUACGGUUAGGGUUUGGGAUAGGGUUGGGUUAGAGUUAGGCUUAGUGUUAGGGUUAGGGUUAGGUUUAGGGUUGGGUUAGGGUUAGGGUUAGGGUUAGGGGUAGGGUUAGGGUAGGGUUAGGGUUAGGGUUAGGGUUAGGGUUAGGAUUAGGGUUAGGGUUAGUGUUAGGGUUUGGGUUAGGGUUAGGGUUAGGGUUAGGGUUAGGGUAGGGUUAGGGUUAGGGUUAGGGUUAGGGAUAGGGUUAGGGUUAGGGUAGGGUUAGGGUUAGGGUUAGGGUUAGGGUUAGGGUUAAGGUUUGGGUUAGGGUUAGGGUUAGUGGUUAGGGUUAGGGUUAGGGUUACGGUUACGGUUAGGGUUAGGGUUAGGGUUAGGGUUAGGGUUACGGUUAGGGUUUGGGUUAGGUUUAGGGUUAGGGUUAGGGUAGGGUUAGGGUUAGGGUUAGGGUUAGGGUUAGGGUUAAGGUUAGGGUUUGGGUUAGGGUUAGGGUUAGGGUUAGGGUUAUUGUUAGGUUUUGGGUUAGGGUUAGGGUUAGUGUUAGGGUGUUGUGCAAAUAAUUAACUAGAAAAACAAACAAACAAGCAAACAAAAAAACACACCUGUGGGAAUACACGAAAAACUGUUCAGAGCAGAAGCUAUGUAGCAAGAUAAACAGCAUGAGAACCAAGGACAUCUCUAGAAAAAGAACGAAUGGCUCACAGCUCUGAUUGGAUAAGCGUCCACAAGAACGGUUGAAGAGCGUUUGUAGAAUACUUUGUUGACAUGUAAAGGUGGAUGGGAAAGUUGUAGGGGUGGAUGGGAAAGCUAGAAAAAGAAAACUUGUGAAGGUAUAUAAGUGAUGUGAGAACUUGUAAUAAAUGAUUUGGAUCGUUCACAUCUGAGUCUGUGCAUCAGGCACUGCACAGACCCAAAUUAGGAAGCUGCAGACAAGCAGCUUUUCCAAAUAAACUAAUUAAUGUCAAUAGUAAUGACAGUGAUUUUUAAAAAUUUCUUGCAAGUAGAUGAACUUUCAUUCCUUGGAGAGUUGACUGUAGAGACGUUCUGAUGAGAUCUAUAAUAUAUAUCAGUGUCAUUAGUUAAUUGAGCAGUUACUGGAAUGCAUGUAGUAAUACACAAAGGUUUUGUUUCGAGAUUAACUUGCCAUCUUUGUGGCCCUACUCCUCAUAAGACUUUUGCUCCACACCCUUCACCAGCUUCAUUGCUAUUCUCUGGACAUGCUCCAGGGCCUCAAUAUUUUCUUGUACUGAAUGGCUCGAAACUGAACACAGUACUUGGGUGCAGCCUCAUCAGUGCCAAGUACAGAAGGAUGAUCACCUCUCUAGUCCUUUCCUUAUUGGUCACCUGGGCAUGCUGCUCUCGUGUUCAUCCAGCUUUUGACUAAUACCCCCAGAUUCUUUUCCGUGGUGCAGCU